rnacentral:rRNA from 1 species
UAGGGAAUAUUAGAAAUGGACGAAAGUCUGAUCUAGCAACACCGCGUGUGCGAAGAAGGCCUUCGGGUUGUAAAGCACUUUUUGGAAGGAUUAGGAAGGAAUGUACUUCCAGAAUAAGUCUCGGCUAACUACGUGCCAGCAGCCGCGGUAACACGUAGGAGGCAAACGUUAUCCGGAUUUACUGGGCGUAAAGCGCGUGUAGGUGGUUCUGUAAGUAGGGCGUGAAAGCUUCUGGCUCAACUGGGAGAGGCCGUUCUAAACUACAGAACUAGAGGAUGGUAGAGGGAGGUGGAAUUCCAGGUGUAGCGGUGGAAUGCGCAGAUAUCUGGAGGAACACCAGUGGCGAAGGCGGCCUACUGGACCAUUCCUGACACUCAGACGCGAAAGCUAGGGUAGCAAACG